GGUGGGGUAGCACAAUCAGUAGAGCAUGAGACUCUUCAUCUCAGAGUUGUGCGUUCGAGCCCCACUUUGGGCA